UUAAACCUAACUCAACGUCUUCACCCAUUUUUUUAUAGCCGCCAUUAAAUCCUAAAGAUUAAGUUUGCAACUUCCUAUAUCAUAUUCACGGACCCCAAAAAAUACUAAUGGUGAUUAAAAUCGGUGGUCUAAAGUUCGAUCUUCAGAAUUUUGUGUUGUUCCUGAAUUUCUUAUCAUUGAUGGAAAUGAUAUUUUGAAGUCAAAGAGUUCAUAAGUGAUAUGGAGUAAUUGUUUGAAGCGGAGUAACAAAGAUUUGUUGAAGUUAUAAGUUAAAAUGUUUUAGUAUACAAGGUUUUGUACAUGAGCUUAUUGGUUUUCAAUUUUCAGGGUAGUUGUGAUGAUAGGGUAAAAGUUGUAGUUCUAUUUGAUAUACUUGGUAAUAAUACUCCGUAUUUUAUUAAUUAGAUGAAUUUAUUGUAUAUUUACUAA